GGACGAACGCUGGCGGCGUGCCUAAUACAUGCAAGUCGAACGAGCUCUCCCAAAUUGAUUUUAUGCUUGCAUAAAUGAUUUUUGGAUUCGGAGCGAGUGGCGAACUGGUGAGUAACACGUGGGUAACCUGCCCCGAAGCGGGGGAUAACAUUUGGAAACAAGUGCUAAUACCGCAUAAUUAGUUGGAACCGCAUGGUUCCAACUUGAAAGAUGGCUCUGCUAUCACUUUGGGAUGGACCCGCGCCGUAUUAGUUAGUUGGUGAGAUAAAAGCCCACCAAGACGAUGAUACGUAGCCGACCUGAGAGGGUAAUCGGCCACAUUGGGACUGAGACACGGCCCAGACUCCUACGGGAGGCAGCAGUAGGGAAUCUUCCACAAUGGACGAAAGUCUGAUGGAGCAACGCCGCGUGAGUGAUGAAGGUUUUCGGAUCGUAAAACUCUGUUGUUAAAGAAGAACAAGUGUUAGAGUAACUGUUAACACUUUGACGGUAUUUAACCAGAAAGCCACGGCUAACUACGUGCCAGCAGCCGCGGUAAUACGUAGGUGGCAAGCGUUGUCCGGAUUUAUUGGGCGUAAAGCGAGCGCAGGCGGUUUUGUAAGUCUGCUGUGAAAGCCCUCAGCUCAACUGAGGAAGUGCAGUGGAAACUACAAAACUUGAGUACAGAAGAGGAAAGUGGAACUCCAUGUGUAGCGGUGAAAUGCGUAGAUAUAUGGAAGAACACCAGUGGCGAAGGGCGGCUUUCUGGUCUGUUACUGACGCUGAGGCUCGAAAGCAUGGGUAGCGAACAGGAUUAGAUACCCUGGUAGUCCAUGCCGUAAACGAUGAAUACUAGGUGUUGGAGGGUUUCCGCCCUUCAGUGCCGCAGCUAACGCAUUAAGUAUUCCGCCUGGGGAGUACGACCGCAAGGUUGAAACUCAAAGGAAUUGACGGGGGCCCGCACAAGUGGUGGAGCAUGUGGUUUAAUUCGAUGCUACGCGAAGAACCUUACCAGCUCUUGACAUCUUCUGCCAACCCAAGAGAUUGGGCGUUCCCUUCGGGGACAGAAUGACAGGUGGUGCAUGGUUGUUGUCAGCUCGUGUCGUGAGAUGUUGGGUUAAGUCCCGCAACGAGCGCAACCCUUAUUAUUAGUUGCCAGCAUUUAGUUGGGCACUCUAGUGAGACUGCCGGUGAUAAACCGGAGGAAGGUGGGGACGACGUCAAAUCAUCAUGCCCCUUAUGAGCUGGGCUACACACGUGCUACAAUGGAUGGUACAACGAGUCGCGAAACCGCGAGGUCAAGCUAAUCUCUUAAAGCCAUUCUCAGUUCGGAUUGCAGGCUGCAACUCGCCUGCAUGAAGUUGGAAUCACUAGUAAUCGUGGAUCAGCAUGCCACGGUGAAUACGUUCCCGGGCCUUGUACACACCGC
rnacentral:rRNA from 1 species